GACGAACGCUGGCGGCGUGCUUAAUACAUGCAAGUCAACUGAACUUAAGAUAGCAAUAUUUUAAGGGAGGUGGCGCACGGGUGAGUAACACGUAGGUAAUCUGCCUUUAGGUCUGACACAACCCCGAGAAAUCGGGGCUAAUAUCAGAUGAUGCAGCGGCUCGACAUCGAGACAGUUGUUAAACCUUCGGGGCCUAAAGAUGAGCCUGCGUCUGAUUAGCUGGUUGGCGGGGUAACGGCCCACCAAGGCAACGAUCAGUAGCUGGUCUGAGAGGAUGAUCAGCCACACUGGAACUGAGACACGGUCCAGACUCCUACGGGAGGCAGCAGUAAGGAAUAUUGCUCAAUGGCCGAAAGGCUGAAGCAGCAACGCCGCGUGGAGGAUGAAAUACUUUGUAUGUAAACUCCUGUGAGA
rnacentral:rRNA from 1 species